CUUUGGCUGGAGUCUAGACUGAAAACGAUUGCGAUAAGAAAACUGAGAAAACGUGAUGGAAAAAUCGAUAGACAUAUUCUAAGCGGAUUGUUCGGAAAUUAUAAAACGUUUAACAUACGCGCACUUAGACCAAGUUGGUUCAUUGUACAGAAAGCAACGAUAUGAAUAAGUCAGCGCUUCUCCUCUUGCUUGUCAUCGGACUCCUCGUCCUCACCGAAAUCGAAGCCACCACCGACCCGCGGUGGGCACCACAUCAUUCCCGCCGUCGAGCACCCACGGUGAAUAACCGCCGUAGAUGGAAUUGGAAUCAAGCACCGAAAGCCGAUGAAUUGGCAGACAUGCAGGAAGCAGUCGAUCGCUUUCUUGAAUAAAGUGGUGGACAGUUGGUGUAAUUACUAGUUCACCCGACGUGUAAAACGUAAUCUGCUUGCUUCAAUAAACCAACACAAGUUAAA